rnacentral:rRNA from 1 species
CCUACGGGAGGCUGCAGUGAGGAAUAUUGGUCAAUGGCCGGAAGCCUGAACCAGCCAAGUCGCGUGCAGGAUGACGGCCCUACGGGUUGUAAACUGCUUUUAUCCGGGAAUAACGCGCCUUACGUGUAGGGCUUUGCAUGUACCGUAUGAAAAAGGACCGGCUAAUUCCGUGCCAGCAGCCGCGGUAAUACGGAAGGUCCGGGCGUUAUCCGGAUUUAUUGGGUUUAAAGGGGGCGUAGGCCGCAAGUCAAGCGUGCUGUGAAAUGUCCGGGCUCAACCCGGUCCUUGCCGUGGGAACUGGGGUGCUUGAGUGCGCGGAAAGCAGGCGGAAUGCGUGGUGUAGCGGUGAAAUGCUGAGAUAUGACGAAGAACCCCGAUUGCGAAGGCAGCUUGCUGCAGCGGAACUGACGCUGAUGCUCGAAAGCGUGGGUAUCGAACAGGAUUAGAUACCCGAGUAGUC